ensembl:lncRNA
CGUCAUUACCAAGCACACCGGAAUAAUUCGGUUUGCCGCUAGCAGUCUGCACGCUUUUUCCAGAAUGAUUAAAAAAAGGACGGAAAGACAAAAUUAUUGUGCUAUGGUAUAAAAAUGGUCCUCUUGAUAAUUUUUGAAGCCAGUAAGGGUACAAUAGCCAGCAGAAUAAACCGCCAAAUACAAGAUCUCAAAUCUAUGGAGGACAUAUGACAGCAUUCCAGGGCUGAGUAGAUCAUCGUUCCUGUAUUCUCGUCACAGCUAGAACCGAGUAGGGUAUUUGCUGUAGCAUGGAACUGGGCCGGGUUGUUCGAAUAUACGGGUGUGAGAGACAAUGCGAGUCGAGACACAUUCAUUGACUCGAUUUGAGUCGAAAUCCUGUUGGCUUUAUGUUUUCAUCGUCGUCAACCGAUGUAUAAACUACAAUGGUUACCAGGUAAAGGGUGGGGAUAGUGUAUCAUUACACCGUUUUCAACCAUCCCGCAACCAUCCUACAACCAUUCUCAAUAUGACACAGCACCUUCAAUGAAUCCAGGCAUGUCUAUAUUUAUUUAUAGACCACUCAGGAUUUUAUGUGCUCUUUAGUAGAGCUCAUACUCUGUGACCCAUUUUUGCAUUAAAUUCGAUGGGGGAAUUAUUUUCAGUCCCCGAAAUGUGGACAAUUUCACUCAUAUUGUCGGACUGUCUUCUUUGUUGCAUUUUUUUCAUUCCAAAUACUCAGAAUAAAUGUAUGUUAACUGGCUAAAUGUAUCAUUAGGAUUAAUUAUGUUAUUUUAAUGUUAAGUGAGACAAACCUUGGUUGUAAAUGUCAAAUAAAAGUCUGAAUUCUGAGUUCCCAUGAAUCUCAGUGCCAUAAUGUUGUACAAUUGGAACAAAUAAACCAAGAAAUGCCAUAGCCAUGUCUCAUUGUCUCAAUGUCAUGUUGUCCAUAUUGUGUUAUAUUUGUAGAAUGUCAAUGACGCCACACAUUCAUUUAGUCAUUAUCUGGUGACAGUUGGUAAAUAUUAUGUAAACUAUUAAAUUAAUGAUUCUGUUUUCAUAUACAAAAUAUCUGUCUUCAUAUUGGGUCUACCAUGUUUAAGUAUCAAGGUGAAGGGCAUUUGGAAAGAAAUGGACAAACACAAUGAAGUCACAGGGCCUAUGGAGAGCAAUGGACAAACACAAUGAAGUCACACCAAAACAUCGGGAUAACUAAGAAAGCCAAUAACUUUACUGAAUUCUCUGCAAAAUACAAAUACCUUUCCCCAGCAGAAUAAACUUUUAUUUCAGGUUCCAUGCUUUUUCACUACAUACAGCUGAAUCAAGUCCCGAGAGAUACAGAGAUGUGGUUUUAAUUGAAUAACAUCGUAUCUUCAAGUUGCGACAAAGGCCAGCUUAUGCCGCUGAAAGCCGCUCUUGCGUUCCAAACACUAAUUUCAGACCGCCACAAUUUUCAGAUUUAUACAAGCUACAUUAGAUACUACAGACUGGUAAGUAUUUUUAGCUAUUCACACACACACACACACACACACACACACACACACACACACACACACACA